CUGCCGCCACUGCCGCUCCUCCUCCUCACUGUCGUCCGGCUCCACCGAGAGCGUCUCUUACGGCAUCCCCACCAUAUGCAAGGACAAGAGACAAAAGCGAUACCACGAGGACAUAUUCGGGGCAGUGUUUGCGCACGAGAACCAACGAGACACGAGACCACGACCCGGCUUCGAGUCUCCAAAUCCGCUCACGUUUUAGCUGUAUUUUUGCACAUUCGCUCCCCUUUUCCGAUGUCACGGGGAGCCAAAUUUGUCUUUCCCUCCAAAAUUUUGGAGGUGAAUCAGUACACUUUGGCUCCCAGGAUUGGUUGGGGACCAGACACCUUUUAUUUAAUGCUAUUUAUUCUAUCAGAUCCUUUGUCAUGUGUGUAUAUUGUAUGGGAAGAGGUCAGUUGUAUGUGUUUUUAAAGAAAUGUAUUGCUCAUAUUUUUGGGAGUUGAUGACUAAGCUUGAACUCUUGGUUUCCCAGAUUUCUAGGCCUUGUCUACACAUCUAGAGUUAACCUAGAUUGACUUCUUCUCCCAUGUCUAAAAAUGUUAAUACAGGGUGAUUGGUUGGGAGUUGCAUCAUUUAUACGGUUGAUUUUCCGUUUUUGUACCUUUGUUUAGUUAACCUAUUGCAUAAACUGUUUUGAUUUUGUAAGAGAAAUAAAUAAUUAUUCCUGCUGCUGAA